rnacentral:rRNA from 1 species
UGGGGAAUAUUGGACAAUGGGCGAAAGCCUGAUCCAGCCAUGCCGCGUGUGUGAAGACGGUCUUCGGAUUGUAAAGCACUUUAAGUUGGGAGGAAGGGCAUUAACCUAAUACGUUAGUGUUUUGACGUUACCGACAGAAUAAGCACCGGCUAACUCUGUGCCAGCAGCCGCGGUAAUACAGAGGGUGCAAGCGUUAAUCGGAAUUACUGGGCGUAAAGCGCGCGUAGGUGGUUUGUUAAGUUGGAUGUGAAAGCCCCGGGCUCAACCUGGGAACUGCAUCCAAAACUGGCAAGCUAGAGUACGGUAGAGGGUGGUGGAAUUUCCUGUGUAGCGGUGAAAUGCGUAGAUAUAGGAAGGAACACCAGUGGCGAAGGCGACCACCUGGACUGAUACUGACACUGAGGUGCGAAAGCGUGGGGAGCAAACA